rnacentral:rRNA from 1 species
GACGAACGCUGGCGGCGUGCUUAACACAUGCAAGUCGAACGGAAAGGCCCUGCUUUUGUGGGGUGCUCGAGUGGCGAACGGGUGAGUAACACGUGAGUAACCUGCCCUUGACUUUGGGAUAACUUCAGGAAACUGGGGCUAAUACCGGAUAGGAGCUCCUGCUGCAUGGUGGGGGUUGGAAAGUUUCGGCGGUUGGGGAUGGACUCGCGGCUUAUCAGCUUGUUGGUGGGGUAGUGGCUUACCAAGGCGUUGACGGGUAGCCGGCCUGAGAGGGUGACCGGCCACAUUGGGACUGAGAUACGGCCCAGACUCCUACGGGAGGCAGCAGUGGGGAAUAUUGCACAAUGGGCGGAAGCCUGAUGCAGCAACGCCGCGUGCGGGAUGACGGCCUUCGGGUUGUAAACCGCUUUCGCCUGUGACGAAGCGUGAGUGACAGUAAUGGGUAAAGAAGCACCGGCUAACUACGUG